GGUAAAUAACACGAUCUUGGGGUUCAUGGUGUGUUCAGAUAUCCCGCAACAGCAAGUCAUUCAGACGAUCAGUGCUGCUCUCUUAGCAGGGGACACUCCUCAAGCAGGACUGGAUUAAUCCAUGGGAGCGAGCAGCUGAGCCGUGAGAAGCCAGAAAGCCUGAUGUGGUCCACCCCUUUCCCUGGAAUCACUCCUUUCCAUGUGGGCUGAAUGCCCACGUGCAGCUGUCUGAUCUCAGGAUUUCUAUCAUCCAGAGUAUUCUCUGGAAGCUCCAGCGGGGUUGGCCCAGCUCCUGGCUUCCUCUCCUGGCAACAGCCUCAGGUCUUUUUGAUGAAUUGAAUGAGAAGUGGAGCCCUCAGGUCCAGUCCUGAUCCUGCAGGUGCUUGCUCAUGAAGCUUACACAGAACUCAUGUGACCACGAAGCCAAGGUGGCCGAGAGAAGGCAGCUUCCUGGAAUCUCAGCCUUCCACCAGGCCAGGAGCCAGUCUGCUGCUUCUGUCUGCCUGUACCAAGCAUCUCCCUCAGAGGGAGGAGCCAUGGCCCCAGAAGAUGCUAAGCACUAAAGGAGGCCAUAUGCUUCUACCUUACCAGGUUUUCCGAUGCCCGUGGAGGUCAGAAGAGGGUACCGGACCAAUGGAAUUCAGGUGGCUGUGGUGAGCGCUGUGGGUUGUGAGAACUGAACCUGGGUCCUCUGUAAGAAGGACAAGAGCUCAUGACUGCUUAUCUUCUCUCUGGCCCCUCAUUUUACCUUCACGGGGUCUUGCGUGGCCCAGCCUCACCUCUGAGCUGCUGCUCAGAGAAGGUGGUGGAGAGACUUCAAAGAAUGAAACAAGAUGGCGUGACCCCGGGCCCUUUGAAACUGAGCCAGACCUGGAAUCCAGCCCCUGCCUGCUUUCUUCUGCACUGAAGAAUAAGGACCUUCUAAGCCUUGUGUAUCCGCUCUUCCUUAGCCUGGGAUCGGGGGUUCAAGACCAUUCUCGCCCACUACACAGCAUGUGUGGAGCUGGGCUGGUCACGUGAGAACCCUGCCUUAAUUAAUUAAUUAAUUAAUUAAUGAGUUU
rnacentral:lncRNA from 1 species